ACAAUAGCCGAGGGGCACCCCGUCGCGAAUCGCGGGGUUGAGACGCACCCUUUGAACCUGAUCCGGCUGACACCGGCGGAGGGACGGCGAGAUCGACCGAG
rnacentral:ncRNA from 2 species